UGACCCCUGAGCAAGGCCAAGAGGGGGAUCUUGUCGCCUGGGCAGCCCAGGGCCUCCAUAUAGGGAAAGUCAGUUUGGUGCUGCUAACAUAGCAGUUUGACUUCACACUCCAUUUUCUCUUGAGAAAGAUGGAUGCCAACAACCUAUCUUUUAUUGUUGGUUAUGUAUUUUACCAGCAAUUAUAACUCACUCUGGGAUCAUCUUGCAAGACAAAGAGCAGGACAGAAAUAUCGUAAGUAAAUAAAUAAUAGGCAAUAGCUUCCUUGUGCAAGUAGGCCUGGUUUCUUAUCUACUAUGCAUAUUCAGAUAAACCCAUCCCUCAAGAGACCACGAGUUUAAGAAGGUGAAAUGCGGGACUGGAAGAAUAGGGUCUAGAGUGGGGAAAUCAGUAGGAGUCUACUAAAAAAUGACUACAAGGUGAUUGCCUCAAACACAUGAUCAAGUAGUCUCAUUGGCUUCUGUCCAGGAAAAGUACUUAAGUAUCCAAGGAUGGAAGUAAUCCUAUCUGAAGUCAUCAAAGUAUUAGGAGCACCUGCUUAAGUCCCACUGGUCUCUGUGACAUUUAAUCACUUGAUCAAAGUUAAAGCACGUGAUUAAGAGGGCUUUGUUGAAAAGGGGUUGAAUUUAAGCAGGUGCUUAAAUUCAACACCCAUGUUGAAGAACUCUGAUGGAGUAUAAUUAGGUGGGAGGAGGGAGUGGAGGUGGGGUGGGGGGAGAAGGAGAUGAUGGUAGCAGCCACUUCCUGGCAAAUGACUUUAAAGCACUUGACAUCCCUCCCAGCAGACUUAUCUUAUGCUUCAAAAUAUAUAAUGGAAAGGCAAGGAAAAGAAUACUGUCUAUGGCAGGAAGAAUGUAGAAGCCAUGCAACAGAUAUUGGGCUCAUCUCCUCUGCCCCUCUCCCUUUCUACAAUGG